rnacentral:rRNA from 1 species
CCACAUUGGAACUGAGACACGGUCCAAAACUCCUAUGGGAGGCAGCAGUGAGGAAUAUUGGUCAAUGGGCGAGAGCCUGAACCAGCCAAGUAGCGUGCAGGAUGACGGCCCUAUGGGUUGUAAACUGCUUUUAUAAGGGAAUAAAGUGAGUCUCGUGAGACUUUUUGCAUGUACCUUAUGAAUAAGGACCGGCUAAUUUUGUGUUAGUAGUUGUGGUAAUAUGGAAGGUCCGGGCGUUAUCCGGAUUUAUUGGGUUUAAAGGGAGCGUAGGCCGGAGAUUAAGCGUGUUGUGAAAUGUAGAUGCUCAACAUCUGCACUGCAGCGCGAACUGGUUUCCUUGAGUACGCACAAAGUGGGCGGAAUUCGUGGUGUAGCGGUGAAAUGCUUAGAUAUCACGAAGAACUCCGAUUGCGAAGGCAGCUCACUGGAGCGCAACUGACGCUGAAGCUCGAAAGUGCGGGUAUCGAACAGGAUUAGAUACCUGGUAGUCCGCACGGUAAACGAUGGAUGCCCG